rnacentral:RNase_P_RNA from 1 species
UAAAUUGUCUAGAUAAUCGCUAGUGGAUAUAUUCAUUAGAGGAAAGUCCGGACUUUACAGAGUAAGAUGGUGGGUAACUCCCACUUAGAGCGAUCUAAGGAAAGUGCCGCAGAAACGAUGUAGCCUAUUUAUAGAUUUUAUCUGUUGUAGGUAAUAGUGAAAAGGUGUGAGGUAAGAACUCACUGCUGAAUUUGGUGACAAGUCAGAAAGGUAAACCCCAUCUAAAGCAAGCUCAAGUAUUGGCUCAGCAAAAAAGUUACUCGCUUUUGAGUCAGGGUGGAGUGCAUGAAGUUUAUAGUAAUAUAAACUCUAGAUAGAUGAUUAUCGCUUUAUAAUGUAAAAUUAUAGAGUACAGAAUCCGGCUUAUUGACAAUUUUGAAA